rnacentral:rRNA from 1 species
UAGGGAAUCUUCCACAAUGGACGCAAGUCUGAUGGAGCAACGCCGCGUGAGUGGAGAAGGGUUUCGGCUCGUAAAGCUCUGUUGUUAAAGAAGAACGUGGGUAAGAGUAACUGUUUACCCAGUGACGGUAUUUAACCAGAAAGCCACGGCUAACUACGUGCCAA